rnacentral:lncRNA from 1 species
ACCAGCACACACACUCAGCAGCUGCCCUCGUGGGUAUUUGUUAUAAGGCUGUUGAGCUCCAAGGGCUCCUUUUGGGAGGACCAUGCUGUUCUGGUAUGUCAUCAUUCCAACUUUCUCAUGGUGCAGUUCAACGGAGAAGAGCCACGGCGCUAUGUGGCUUGUCUCCGGAACGUCCUCAUCUGGGGAACGCCACCUCAGCACCCCCUCAGCGCCCCAAAGCUUCUGUCUGUGGUUGUUUCCUGUGCGAGUACAACUCGGAGCAUUCAAGCUGUUGUACCAGACUCAUCUUGCCCAGUGUCAGAAUCUCUUGUUCAAGACAGGCUGGGUGUGAAGCAUGCCUAUAGUCCUGGCACAUCAGGAGCUCAAGGCCGGUCCAGCUACUUGAGACCCGUGUGAGAGCUUAGAAGGUAAAGGUGCUUGCUGCUGUGCUUGACAGCGUGACGGAAAACAAGAAUGGACCCCUACAUGUUGUUCUUGGAUCUCCAUACAUGUUCCCAUGGACCCCC